ACCUUUUAUUCAAAUUAUGAAUGUUAUAUCAGAGUAUGAAUUGCACUUUACAAACUCAUUCCCUAAAGUUUGAAAUCUAAGAUUGUUUUUCCCAUUCAGUCUUCAAACUGACAAUUUAGAAAAUGAUAAACUUUUAUUUCAGGAAAUGGAUUUCAAAGAGAGAAACUGGACUGUGACUAACAGCUAAUGUAAAUUCAAAGGGCUAAAUCUGAAUUCACUCCCUGUUAGUGAAAUAUGGUUCAAGAAACGUCAAGUAGGAAAAGAGCAGCAAAACAAAAGAGCAAAUCUACCUUGAUAGUGACUGGCAGGUGGAUGUCUACAAGUGUGGCACGGUAGAAGUCUAAACAAAGGGCCUGAGGGCCUGGGAUUUAGCUCGUGGUUGCGCCGCCUGCCCCGAAAGCGCAAGGACGUGAGUUGAUUCCCGGUACCAAAAAAAAAAAAAAAAAAGGCCUGA
rnacentral:lncRNA from 1 species